CGAAAGGGUUAACGUUCAGGCGCGUAAAUACUCUCCAUUGCUCUCAAGGACUUCUUCACUAAAAAUGCUUAUAAUAAACGAUUGUUUUUUAUAUAAAGUCGGCCCGAACGCCGCCGAAUGACUUUAUAGGGUCCAAAGAAGCGUCGAGUGUGAACAUGAAGGAGUGUGAGGGUGGGAGAGACAAAGGCGAGCAAAUGUUGGCGUGUGGAAACGGAGGAUCGGAGCGAUCCUCGCAGGGCUCGUUGGACGGGAAAAGUGAUGACCGGUGGGGGGCACGCGCCUGUGCCGUGCGGCAGGGCAGCCAGCAAACCAAGUGUAGUUCAAAGAUCCAUCAAAGCAGUUAGAUAUGCUUUUUUUAUUUUUGCUUUUCCGCUCGCAGAAACCUUUCCCAACACGGGCUUUGUCAGCCAUAGCUGCUGCCCGGCAGGAAGGCUGUCCGGGGCUCGCUAGAGUCGUGAUUUCCAGCCCCUCUGAACGAGUCAGCCGUGAGAACCGUGUGACGGACUCAUGUGUGCCCACAUUCAGGGGCAUUGUUGGGGGGGAAAGCGGGCGUGGGGGCAGCUAAGAAGCCUGGAAGUGAGAAAGAAAUGAGCGGCGACAGUGCCGAGGCUUCCCCGCUGCCGUCUGCUCCGGACCGGGGGAAGGCUGGCUCCAGCUCGGGGCUGCUCCGGGGUCCCAAACGGCUGUUAGGGGGCAGAUACGGCUUCAAGCCCAUCACAAAAUCACGACAAUAAACGCAGACAUUUCUAAUCCGACGGAUCGGUGUUGAGUUAUUCGCCAAAAAAUGUCACAACCCCGGUCGGCUAUAUUUAACUCCGCCUUCUUCUUCUCCGAGCGGCCUCUCUCCUCAGAUGCAGACGGGCGACUGAGAGCCACAAAGCUGUCAAACGCAGCCGACUGCUCGCCAUUUUUGUUUGUUUCCAUAAAAGCAAACAGAUACAGAAAACAGACUCGCGCGGCGAUCCGCUCUUACCUGCCGUGGAACCAGUCCUUGCAGGCAUCGCACUCGAUCAUGAACUGGGUCACGUCGUAAGAAAAAAAGCCAGGGGCAGUCCCGCCGGACACAUGGAGCUAUGCGCGCCGCGCCAUCGCACCGCGGCCGCGGGAGCGUUCGUGCGGAGCGGUCCAAACGAUAACAAGCCCGCCUCAGCAGCUUUUCCUGAAAUGCAUCGUUAUUAUUAUUAUUACUAUGUGCAUGCCCCCUGGUGACUGACUGCGCGACUCCGCGGCGCUCAUAGUAGGGGGAUGAAUGAGCAGACUGGCUCUGCAAAGACAGAAAUAAACAAAAAGCAAAGUUACGUCAGACUGAGGGGAGGUUAAAAUCCCAGCAACCAGCCACGGGACCCAUGAGCAAUACACACAUCUCAGUGUUUUUUUUUUUUUUUUUUUUUUUCUCUUUCAAAAAAUAGAUAAAAUAUGUAAAGAUGAAAAAGAAGAAGAAGUAAAAAGAAAUAAAAAUAAACAACUAAAUAUAUACAUUUGAAGGGAUUGAACAAAAUGACAUAAUCAAACGU